GGGAGUUUUUGAGAUCCAUCUCUUGUUGUCAAGUUCAUCCUCUCUAGGUGGGAGUUUCUUCAUUGACGAGGAGAAGAAAGUUGCUGUGGUUUUCGACGUAGACGCCAAAUCUUACGAGGUUAAGACCCAUGUCAACCAAACACCCAAUAUUAUUGGACAAGAUGGAUACUUCAAAUCUCUGAAUAUCGGAAAAGUUGGGUUUUUUGGACAAAUAGUUCCUAAAUAUUGUCUCCCACUU